GACGAACGCUGGCGGCGUGCUUAACACAUGCAAGUCGAACGGUGAAGCGCCUUCCUUUUUGGUGGGUGUGGAGGAGUGGCGAACGGGUGAGUAACACGUGAGUAACCUGCCCCCUUCUUCUGGAUAACCGCAUGAAAGUGUGGCUAAUACGGGAUAUUCUGGGUCUGUCGCAUGAUGGGUCUGGGAAAGAUAUUGUUUCGGUGGGGGAUGGGCUCGCGGCCUAUCAGCUUGUUGGUGGGGUGAUGGCCUACCAAGGCGGUGACGGGUAGCCGGCCUGAGAGGGUGGACGGUCACACUGGGACUGAGACACGGCCCAGACUCCUACGGGAGGCAGCAGUGGGGAAUAUUGCACAAUGGGCGCAAGCCUGAUGCAGCGACGCCGCGUGAGGGAUGGAGGCCUUCGGGUUGUGAACCUCUUUCGCCAGUGAAGCAGGCCUGCCUCGUUUGUGGGUGGGUUGACGGUAGCUGGAUAAGAAGCGCCGGCUAACUACGUG
rnacentral:rRNA from 1 species